CCAAUAGCGUAUAUUAAAGUUGUUGCAGUUAAAAAGCUCGUAGUUGAACUUCGGGGUCUACCCAUUGGUCAGGCUUAAUUGUCUGCACUGGUGAGAUGGAUCUCUACCUUCUGAGGAACUUUCAUGCCAUUUAUUUAGUGUGAUUGGAAAUCAGGACUGUUACUUUGAAAAAAUUAGAGUGUUUAAAGCAGACUAUCGUCUGAAUACAUUAGCAUGGAAUAAUGAAAUAGGACGGACUGAUUCUAUUUCGUUGGUUUCUAGGAUCACCGUAAUGAUUAAUAGGGAUAGUUGGGGGCAUUAGUAUUCAAUUGUCAGAGGUGAAAUUCUUGGAUUUAUUGAAGACUAACUACUGCGAAAGCAUUUGCCAAGGAUGUUUUCAUUAAUCAAGAACGAAAGUUAGGGGAUCGAAGACGAUCAGAUACCGUCGUAGUCUUAACCAUAAACUAUGCCGACUAGGGAGCGGACGAAGUUAAUUUUAUAAUGACGCGUUCGGCACCUUACG
rnacentral:rRNA from 1 species